CCCUUAGAUGUUCUGGGCCGCACGCGCGCUACAAUGAUGAAUUCAACGAGCUUAUAACCUUGGUUGAAAAGCCUGGGUAAUCUUUUGAACUUUCGUCGUGAUGGGGCUAGACCCUUGCAAUUUUUGGUCUCCAACGAGGAAUUCCUAGUAAACGCAAGUCAUCAACUUGCAUUGAUUACGUCCCUGCCCUUUGUACACACCGCCCGUCGCACCUACCGAUUGAGUGUUCCGGUGAAGCCUCGGGAUUGUAGCUGUUUCCUUUAUUGGGUACAGCCGUGAGAACUUGUCUGAACCUUAACACUUAGAGGAAGGUGAAGUCGUAACA
rnacentral:rRNA from 1 species